AAUGUGAUAAUGAAUGCUAAACACUAGGAGAUUUUUAACAUGUCUUCCUUUUUAUAGGAGAAGAAGAACUGCCCCAGUGUAACAGUGCCAUUGUGCCGGGAUGAUGGACUAGGAUGUAUUCGGAACUCUGUGUUUUUAAAGGGACUCUUCAAUUUAGCAUAACAUAAGCCUUUCAGAGAAAAGUCAAUGGCUACUGUGUAGCUAGUGUGUAAAUACUAUUCUUAAAAAUAUUUUUAUACUGCAAUAAAAGAUUCUUCCAAGAA